UCAGUCUUCUGAAAUUAUCGACAGUCUUGAUCAUAUGAUUUUACUUUUAGGUUAGAUAUUUUUUCGAGUCGCUCAAAUCAAAAUUGCAAGUUUACAUUUUUCGAGUUCAAAUUCCAAGUGAGUACGCGGAACUGAGUGAUGCCUCAGUCCGUCUUCCUCUUCAAAAUCCGUUAAAAUAUUCAAUAGAUCACAAAGAAAACAAGAUAGCUACAUUCAUCAUGGCCAAAAGUGACGACAACGCAUGGCAAGAAGCAUGCCUCGUCAAGGGUGGAACUAAACUCGGUAAUAUCAAACAGCUUAACCCAGAAAAGUCCAAUAUUCCGAAUGUGCAUGUUUCUCCUUGGAUUCUACCAUUGAGCGUGAGUUAAGCUCCGUUAUUUAGUGAACUUUCAGAUUUUUUUUUCAUAAGAUUUUCUAGGCGUUUUAUCUGAAAGAUUUGCCUUUCCAAAUUUUUUUCAUAAGAUUUUCUAGGCGUUUUAUCUGAAAGAUUUGCGGCCUUGGAAGGGAACCUUCCGAUUUUUUCUUCAAUUUUGCGCCAUUCUGCAUAUUGAGGCGUGACUUUUGUCUGCAAAAAAAGUAUAUAUCUUUCUUUUCAAUCUAAAAAUUCAACUGAGAUGGAUUUUCUUUCAUUAGUCCUUGAUUCUCCACAAGAUCCGUAGAAUCAACGGCUUCUUCAGAUCAAACUUUCGAGGAAGAAGAAUGAACACGGCAAGGCUAUGGAAG
rnacentral:lncRNA from 1 species